rnacentral:misc_RNA from 1 species
ACCUCUCACCUUUGACGGUUUCUAAUGACCGUUCAAAUGCGUGGAUUUGGGUGUCUGCCUGGUGAACAACCUUAUGGCUCGCCUUAAAAGUAUUAGCUCGGUUCUAGUUCCAUGGCCUGAGGCGUAAUAAGUUAUUCGUCUCGCGACUUGAUGGUGUAGCCUGCUUCUAAAUCAUUACACUUUUUUGAA